ACUAAAACCGAGGGGGAAUCUCAGAUACAGUGUAACACUAGGAAGCAGAAGAGUGGCAACAUGUUCUUCGCACACUCAAAAUUAGCUGAAAGCUCAAAUACUAAGCUCACUCCCUGCACAGCAUGAGAACACCAUCUCUCAUCUUCCUUGUUACAACCCUGCCUGAAAUUGUCCUCAUUAAACAAUAAAGAUGUCAUCAUCACUGCA